rnacentral:rRNA from 1 species
CCUACGGGUGGCAGCAGUGAGGAAUAUUGGUCAAUGGGCGCGAGCCUGAACCAGCCAAGUAGCGUGAAGGAUGACUGCCCUACGGGUUGUAAACUUCAUUUAUAAAGGAAUAAAGUGAGGCACGUGAGCCUUUUGGAGGGACGUUAAGAAUAAGGAACGGCUAACUCCGUGCCAGCAGCCGCGGUAAUACGGAGGAUCCGAGCGUUAUCCGGAUUUAUUGGGUUUAAAGGGAGCGUAGUUGGGUUGUUAAGUCCGUUGGGACUGUUUGCGGCUCAACCGUAAAAUUGCAAUUGAUACUGGCAGUCUUGAGUACAGUUGCGGUAGGCGGAAUUCGUGGUGUAGCGGU